rnacentral:rRNA from 1 species
GAUGAACGCUGGCGGCGUGCCUAAUACAUGCAAGUCGAGCGAAUGGAUUAAGAGCUUGCUCUUAUGAAGUUAGCGGCGGACGGGUGAGUACCACGUGGGUAACCUGCCCAUAAGACUGGGAUAACUCCGGGAAACCGGGGCUAAUACCGGAUAACAUUUUGACCCGCAUGGUUGGAAAUUGAAAGGGGGCUUCGGCUGUCACUUAUGGAUGGACCCGCGUCGAAUUAGCUAGUGGGUGAGGUAACGGCUCACCAAGGCAACGAUGCGUAGCCGACCUGAGAGGGUGAUCGGCCACACUGGGACUGAGACACGGCCCAGACUCCUACGGGAGGCAGCAGUAGGGAAUCAUCCGCAAUGGACGAAAGUCUGACGGAGCAACGCCGCGUGAGUGAUGAAGGCUUUCGGGUCGUAAAACUCUGUUGUUAGGGAAGAACAAGUGCUAGUUGAAUAAGCUGGCACCUUGACGGUACCUAACCAGAAAGCCACGGCUAACUACGUGCCAGCCGCCGCGGUAA